CCUACGGGUGGCAGCAGUGGGGAAUAUUGGUCAAUGGGCGCAAGCCUGACCCAGCAACGCCGCGUGAAGGAAGAAGGCUUUCUGGUUGUAAACUUCUUUUCUCCGGGACGCAGCAAGUGCCGGUACCUGAGUAAUCAGCCACGGCUAACUACGUUCCAGCAGCCGCGGUAAUACUUAGGUGGCAAGCGUUAUCCGGAUUUAAUGUGUGCAAAGGGCGUGUAGGCGGGAGUGCAAGUCAGAUGUGAAAACCACGGGCUCAACCUGUGGCCUGCAUUUGAAACUGUAGUUCUUGAGUACUGGAGAGGCAGACGGAAUUCGUAGUGUAGCGGUGAAAUGCGUAGAUAUUAGGAGGAACACCAGUGGCGAAGGCGGUCUGCUGGACACCAACUGACGCUGAGGCGCGAAAGCGUGGGGAGCAAACAGGAUUAGAUACCCCUGUAGUC
rnacentral:rRNA from 1 species